rnacentral:rRNA from 1 species
AUUGAACGCUGGCGGCAUGCCUUACACAUGCAAGUCGAACGGCAGCACGGGUGCUUGAACCUGGUGGCGAGUGGCGAACGGGUGAGUAAUACGUCGGAACAUGUCCUGUAGUGGGGGAUAGCCCGGCGAAAGCCGGAUUAAUACCGCAUACGAUCUACGGAUGAAAGCGGGGGACCUUCGGGCCUCGCGCUAUAGGGUUGGCCGAUGGCUGAUUAGCUAGUUGGUGGGGUAAAGGCCUACCAAGGCGACGAUCAGUAGCUGGUCUGAGAGGACGACCAGCCACACUGGGACUGAGACACGGCCCAGACUCCUACGGGAGGCAGCAGUGGGGAAUUUUGGACAAUGGGCGAAAGCCUGAUCCAGCAAUGCCGCGUGUGUGAAGAAGGCCUUCGGGUUGUAAAGCACUUUUGUCCGGAAAGAAAUCCUUGGCCCUAAUACGGUCGGGGGAUGACGGUACCGGAAGAAUAAGCACCGGCUAACUACGUG